GGAUGAGCCCGCGGCCUAUCAGCUAGUUGGUGGGGUAACGGCCUACCAAGGCGACGACGGGUAGCCGGCCUGAGAGGGUGUCCGGCCACACUGGGACUGAGACACGGCCCAGACUCCUACGGGAGGCAGCAGUGGGGAAUAUUGCACAAUGGGCGGAAGCCUGAUGCAGCAACGCCGCGUGGGGGAUGACGGCCUUCGGGUUGUAAACCUCUUUCGGCAUCGACGAAGGCUCUCGUGUUCGGGGGUUGACGGUAGGUGCAGAAGAAGCACCGGCUAACUACGUGCCAGCAGCCGCGGUAAUACGUAGGGUGCGAGCGUUGUCCGGAUUUAUUGGGCGUAAAGAGCUCGUAGGCGGUUUGUCGCGUCGGCCGUGAAAACCUGCAGCUUAACUGUGGGCGUGCGGUCGAUACGGGCAGACUUGAGUUCGGUAGGGGAGACUGGAAUUCCUGGUGUAGCGGUGAAAUGCGCAGAUAUCAGGAGGAACACCGGUGGCGAAGGCGGGUCUCUGGGCCGAUACUGACGCUGAGGAGCGAAAGCGUGGGGAGCGAACAGGAUUAGAUACCCUGGUAGUCCACGCCGUAAACGUUGGGCGCUAGGUGUAGGGGGCUUCCACGGUUUCCGUGCCGUAGCUAACGCAUUAAGCGCCCCGCCUGGGGAGUACGGCCGCAAGGCUAAAACUCAAAGGAAUUG
rnacentral:rRNA from 1 species